rnacentral:misc_RNA from 1 species
AUACACAAAUGGUCACAUACAUAUUGGGGCCUACCGAGAUGGGUACUGUUCUUACAGCAAUAUCACAUAGUAUUGCCGCGAAAGCAUCACCGUAUUCAUCAUGUAGCACCGCAUGAGACGUAUUUCUGUAUAACCACAGGCUGGUUAAAUUGGCCGUUGGAGAAAAUAAGAUUUUGGCCAACUUUGGAAGCAGUUAUCGAGUAUUCAACAGGCUGUAAGGCACGCGAUGAUGAUCUUAAAUGGGCCAAAAAAAUGACAUAACUGUAUUAUGAGCUUUCAUACUUUGGAUCUUCAUUUUGCAUAAGUAUAUUUGAAACAAAUAAUGCAUAUGUAACAGUAUAUCAUUUUUAUUAAGCUGAAUGUACAAAUGCUGAAUAUACCUACAUAUAUACAAAAAUUACAAAAAGGCAUAAAUUUGGCUUUUUAAGGUAUUUUCAAAACUUAUACACUCACACAUACAUUUAUUUUCACGGAAACUCGUGAAUAUUGUGAAAACAUCAACAAAUUAAAUUAUUAACAAAUAUCACAAGCUAUUAAUUUAAGUAAACACUCUAAGCUUUUUUACAAUUAUACACCACAUAGCGCUUAAUUAAAUGAAUAUAUCAUUUAUUAACAUUUUAAUUCUAAGCUUUU